rnacentral:rRNA from 1 species
CCUACGGGGGGCAGCAGUGAGGAAUAUUGGUCAAUGGACGAGAGUCUGAACCAGCCAAGUAGCGUGAAGGAUGACUGCCCUAUGGGUUGUAAACUUCUUUUAUAAAGGAAUAAAACGAGGCACGUGUGCCUUUUUGCAUGUACUUUAUGAAUAAGGAUCGGCUAACUCCGUGCCAGCAGCCGCGGUAAUACGGAGGAUCCGAGCGUUAUCCGGAUUUAUUGGGUUUAAAGGGAGCGUAGAUGGUUUGUUAAGUCAGUUGUGAAAGUUUGCGGCUCAACCGUAAAAUUGCAAUUGAUACUGGUAGUCUUGAGUACAGUUGAGGUAGGCGGAAUUCGUGGUGUAGCGGUGAAAUGCUUAGAUAUCACGAAGAACCCCGAUUGCGAAGGCAGCUUACUAAGCUGUGACUGACAUUGAUGCUCGAAAGUGUGGGUAUCAAACAGGAUUAGAUACCCCAGUAGUC